AGUCAACCUAACUUAUGGACGGGGAUAACCUCGGGAAACUGAGAAUAAUACCCGAUAGGUCAUGAUGCCUGGAAUGGUUUAUGACUCAAAUAAUUUAUUGCCAUAGGAUGGGACUGCGAGCUAUCAGCUUGUUGGUGAGGUAAUGGCCCACCGAGGCUAUUACAGCUACGGGCUCUGAGAGGAGUAGCCCGGAGAUGGGUACUGAGACAAGGACCCAGGCCCUAUGGGGCGCAGCAGGCGAGAAAACUUUGCAAUGCGCGAAAGCUCGACAAGGUUAAUCUGAGUGGUUCCUGCUAAAGGAACCUUUUGUUAGUCGUAGAACCACUGAUGAAUAAGGGGUGGGCAAGUUCUGGUGUCAGCCGCCGCGGUAAAACCAGCACCUCAAGUGGUCAGGAUGAUUAUUGGGCCUAAAGCAUCCGUAGCCUGUUCUGUAAGUUUUCGGUUAAAUCUAUGCGCUCAACGUAUAGGCUGCCGAAAAUACUGCAGAACUAGGGAGUGAGAGAGGUAGACGGUACUCGGUAGGAAGGGGUAAAAUCCUUUGAUCUAUUGAUGACCACCUGUGGCGAAGGCGGUCUACCAGAACACGUUCGACGGUGAGGGAUGAAAGCUGGGGGAGCAAACCGGAUUAGAUACCCGGGUAGUCCCAGCUGUAAACGAUGCAAACUCGAUGAUGCGUUGGCUUGUUGCUAGCGCAGUGUCGCAGGGAAGCCGUUAAGUUUGCCGCCUGGGAAGUACGUACGCAAGUAUGAAACUUA
rnacentral:rRNA from 1 species